CUGCAAGUCGAACGAACUCUUCGGAGUUAGUGGCGGACGGGUGAGUAACACGUGGGAACGUGCCUUUAGGUUCGGAAUAACUCAGGGAAACUUGUGCUAAUACCGAAUGUGCCCUUCGGGGGAAAGAUUUAUCGCCUUUAGAGCGGCCCGCGUCUGAUUAGCUAGUUGGUGAGGUAAAGGCUCACCAAGGCGACGAUCAGUAGCUGGUCUGAGAGGAUGAUCAGCCACAUUGGGACUGAGACACGGCCCAAACUCCUACGGGAGGCAGCAGUGGGGAAUCUUGCGCAAUGGGCGAAAGCCUGACGCAGCCAUGCCGCGUGAAUGAUGAAGGUCUUAGGAUUGUAAAAUUCUUUCACCGGGGACGAUAAUGACGGUACCCGGAGAAGAAGCCCCGGCUAACUUCGUGCCAGCAGCCGCGGUAAUACGAAGGGGGCUAGCGUUGCUCGGAAUUACUGGGCGUAAAGGGAGCGUAGGCGGACAUUUAAGUCAGGGGUGAAAUCCCGGGGCUCAACCUCGGAAUUGCCUUUGAUACUGGGUGUCUUGAGUAUGAGAGAGGUGUGUGGAACUCCGAGUGUAGAGGUGAAAUUCGUAGAUAUUCGGAAGAACACCAGUGGCGAAGGCGACACACUGGCUCAU
rnacentral:rRNA from 1 species